CUAAUUUUCUCUCCUCUUGUGCUGUAGUUAACCGACCUGGAAGACCUGGAGAUUCAAGCCAGCGGCAGAGGGACCGGCACAGUCUCAAUCCUGACCGUGUACUACAAGUCUCCUGAGGCCAGAAAAGACACUUGCAACCUCUUCCACCUAAAUGUGACCUUCACCCGCACUGAGAAACAGAGCAGGACCGGGGAAGAGACCUACCAGCUGUGGAUAAGA